GAUGAACGCUGGCGGCGUGCCUAAUACAUGCAAGUCGAGCGAACAGACGAGGAGCUUGCUCCUCUGACGUUAGCGGCGGACGGGUGAGUAACACGUGGAUAACCUACCUAUAAGACUGGGAUAAAUUCGGGAAACCGGAGCUAAUACCGGAUAAAAUAUUGAACCGCAUGGUUCAAUAGUGAAAGACGGUUUUGCUGUCACUUAUAGAUGGAUCCGCGCCGCAUUAGCUAGUUGGUAAGGUAACGGCUUACCAAGGCAACGAUGCGUAGCCGACCUGAGAGGGUGAUCGGCCACACUGGAACUGAGACACGGUCCAGACUCCUACGGGAGGCAGCAGUAGGGAAUCUUCCGCAAUGGGCGAAAGCUUGACGGAGCAACGCCGCGUGAGUGAUGAAGGUCUUCGGAUCGUAAAACUCUGUUAUUAGGGAAGAACAAAUGUGUAAGUAACUAUGCACGUCUUGACGGUACCUAAUCAGAAAGCCACGGCUAACUACGUG
rnacentral:rRNA from 1 species